rnacentral:rRNA from 1 species
AUGAACGCUGGCGGCGUGCCUAAUAAAUGCAAGUCGAGCGAACAGACGAGGAGCUUGCUCCUCUGACGUUAGCGGCGGACGGGUGAGUAACACGUGGAUAACCUACCUAUAAGACUGGGAUAACUUCGGGAAACCGGAGCUAAUACCGGAUAAUAUAUUGAACCGCAUGGUUCAAUAGUGAAAGACGGUUUUGCUGUCACUUAUAGAUGGAUCCGCGCCGCAUUAGCUAGUUGGUAAGGUAACGGCUUACCAAGGCAACGAUGCGUAGCCGACCUGAGAGGGUGAUCGGCCACACUGGAACUGAGACACGGUCCAGACUCCUACGGGAGGCAGCAGUAGGGAAUCUUCCGCAAUGGGCGAAAGCCUGCCGGAGCAACGCCGCGUGAGUGAUGAAGGUCUUCGGAUCGUAAAACUCUGUUAUUAGGGAAGAACAAAUGUGUAAGUAACUAUGCACGUCUUGACGGUACCUAAUCAGAAAGCCACGGCUAACUACGUG